rnacentral:rRNA from 1 species
UACGGGGGGGGCAAGCGUUGUUCGGAAUUACUGGGCGGAAAGGGCUCGUAGGCGGCCAACUAAGUCAGACGUGAAAUCCCCAAGCUUAACUUGGGAACUGCAUCCGAUACUGGAUGGCUUGAAUCCGGGAGAGGGAUGCAGAAUUCCAGGUGUAGCGGUGAAAUGCGUAGAUAUCUGGAGGAAUACCGGUGGCGAAGGCGGCAUCCUGGACCGGCAUUGACGCUGAGGAGCGAAAGCUAGGGGAGCAAACGGG